rnacentral:rRNA from 1 species
UGGGGGAUAUUGCACAAUGGGCGAAAGCCUGAUGCAGCGACGCCGCGUGGGGGAUGAAGGCCUUCGGGUUGUAAACUUCUUUUGCUCUGAACAAGGCGCACCAUGGGGUGUGUUGAGUGUAGGGGUUGAUUAGCGCCGGCUAACUACGUGCCAGCAGCCGCGGUAAUACGUAGGGCGCGAGCGUUGUCCGGAAUUAUUGGGCGUAAAGGGCUUGUAGGUGGCUGGUUGCGUCUGUCGUGAAAGCUCAUGGCUUAACUGUGGGUUUGCGGCGGGUACGGGCUGGCUUGAGUGCAGUAGGGGAGGCUGGAAUUCCUGGUGUAGCGGUGGAAUGCGCAGAUAUCAGGAGGAAUACCGGUGGCGAAGGCGGGUCUCUGGGCUGUUACUGACACUGAGGAGCGAAAGCAUGGGGAGCGAACAGG